AGAACGAACGCUGGCGGCGUGCCUAACACAUGCAAGUCCAACGUGAAAGGGGAGCAAUCCCCCGGUAGGGUGGCAAACGGGUGAGUAAUACAUGGGUGAUCUACCUUAGGGAUGGGGAUAUCCUUCCGAAAGGAGGGGCAAUACCGAAUACCGUCCGGAUUCUGAAAGGGGUCCGGGGAAAGGGAGGCCUCUGGCAACAUGCUUCCGCUCCGAGAGGAGCCCAUGGCCCAUCAGCUAGUUGGUAGGGUAAAGGCCUACCAAGGCGAAGACGGGUAGCUGGUCUGAGAGGACGAUCAGCCACACUGGCACUGAGACACGGACCAGACUCCUACGGGAGGCAGC
rnacentral:rRNA from 1 species